AUCGCUUCUUGGCCUUUUGGCUAAGAUCAAGUGUAUUAUUAUUAUAGAAUGGGUUCUCAGAUAAAGAAAAAACUAAGAAUUUUCUCAGAUUUUUGGGAGUAUUUCAU
rnacentral:snRNA from 2 species